CCUACGGGUGGCAGCAGUGGGGAAUAUUGCACAAUGGGGGAAACCCUGAUGCAGCGACGCCGCGUGAGUGAAGAAGUAAUUCGUUAUGUAAAGCUCUAUCAGCAGGGAAGAAAAUGACGGUACCUGAGUAAGAAGCCCCGGCUAACUACGUGCCAGCAGCCGCGGUAAUACGUAGGGGGCAAGCGUUAUCCGGAUUUACUGGGUGUAAAGGGGGCGUAGACGGCAGUGCAGGUCUGGAGUGAAAGGCGGGGGCUCAACCCCCGGACUGCGCUGGAAACUGUACGGCUGGAGUGCAGGUGCGGUAAGUGGAAUUCCUAGUGUAGCGGUGAAAUGCGUAGAUAUUAGGAGGAACACCAGUGGCGAAGGCGGCUUACUGGACUGUAUCUGACGUUGAGGCUCGAAAGCGUGGGUAGCAAACAGGAUUAGAUACCCUGGUAGUC
rnacentral:rRNA from 1 species